rnacentral:rRNA from 1 species
GACGAACGCUGGCGGCGUGCUUAACACAUGCAAGUCGAACGGAAAGGCCCUGCUUUUGUGGGGUGCUCGAGUGGCGAACGGGUGAGUAACACGUGAGUAACCUGCCCUUGACUUUGGGAUAACUUCAGGAAACUGGGGCUAAUACCGGAUAGGAGCUCCUGCUGCAUGGUGGGGGUUGGAAAGUUUCGGCGGUUGGGGAUGGACUCGCGGCUUAUCAGCUUGUUGGUGGGGUAGUGGCUUACCAAGGCUUUGACGGGUAGCCGGCCUGAGAGGGUGACCGGCCAAAUUGGGACUGAGAUACGGCCCAGACUCCUACGGGAGGCAGCAGUGGGGAAUAGUGCACAAUGGGCGGAAGCCUGAUGCAGCAACGCCGCGUGCGGGAUGACGGCCUUCGGGUUGUAAACCGCGUUCGCCUGUGACGAAGCGUGAGUGACGGUAAUGGGUAAAGAAGCACCGGCUAACUACGUG